rnacentral:tRNA from 1 species
GUCUUAGUAGUUUAAAUUAAUAAAACAUUGGUCUUGUAAACCAAAAAUAAAUUUUUAUUUUUAAGAUU